rnacentral:rRNA from 1 species
GGWUACUAAGUCAAWGAAGAMMMAACAACUAGUUGACAUYGUUUAGGGCGUGGACUACCAGGGUAUCUAAUCCUGUUUGCUCCCCACGCUUUCGUGCAUGAGCGUCAGUAUUGGCCCAGGGGGCUGCCUUCGCCAUCGGUAUUCCUCCACAUCUCUACGCAUUUCACUGCUACACGUGGAAUUCUACCCCCCUCUGCCAUACUCUAGCCCGCCAGUCACAAAUGCAGUUCCCAGGUUAAGCCCGGGGAUUUCACAUCUGUCUUAGCGGACCGCCUGCGCACGCUUUACGCCCAGUAAUUCCGAUUAACGCUUGCACCCUACGUAUUACCGCGGCUGCUGGCACUUAGUUAGCCGGUGCUUAUUCUUCCGGUACCGUCAUCCUCCCGCCGUAUUAGGACAGAAGUUUUCUUUCCGGACAAAAGUGCUUUACAACCCGAAGSCUUCUUCACACACGCGGCAUUGCUGGAUCAGGCUUUCGCCCAUUGUCCAAAAUUCCCCACUGCUGCCUCCCGUAGAGNUCUGGGCCGUGUCUCAGUCCCAGUKUGGCUGGUCGUCCUCUCAGACCAGCUACAGAUCGUCG